UAAUGGACACGCUCAGAUAAUGAUAAAGGAGCACCUAAUUCAUCCGUAAUAGCUUGUACAAUAUCGUCUUUUCUGUUUUCAUAUUCUUUUACAAUUUUAUCUAAUAACGCUUGUCUUUCUUUCACAGAUGUAUGACGGA
rnacentral:sRNA from 1 species